AUGUGGCUUCCCAGACCUCGAAGCCGCGGCCACUCCUUGCAGGAGAUAUCUAGUGGUCUGGGCCUCCCGGUGACCUCCUCAGCCAGCACCCUGGUCGUGGAGGGUAGGCGGAUCCCACCAGGGCAAGGGCUGGAGGCCUGCCCGCAGUGGUGCCCCAGCACUCUGGACCUGCCCCUUGAUCACCACUAUUCAGGUCCCCACCUCCCUUGCCCCAACUGUUCUGCCCCUGCCCACGCUCUACCCUCUUCGCUGGGUGGCCCUAUGCACCUCUGGGCCACCUCACCCACUCCUAUCACUCAAGAUGCUCUCUGUACUCUGACUUCUAAAAUUUCAUGUCUGGCAGGACUCCAAACUGCAGCCAGCCUCAGCCUCAGCCACUCAGCAAAUCCCAGUCGUGCUUGUCUUGGGAUGCUUUUAUCUUCCCAGCUCAGUGGGUGCAUCUCUACCCACUACCCAGCAAUGCAGGCCAACCCCCUGGGGCUAUUGCAUCCCCCCUUCGUGGCCAGCCCCACAGGUCUUGGCAGCUCCACCUUCCACUCUGUCCGCUUGUCAGCAUCUCCACCAACGGCUACCACCAGUCCAGGCCCCAGCACAUCUCUUUGCGGGGUCCCCACCAGCAGCCCUAGUGCUGUCCUAGUCCUCCUGCGGCGGACGCUGGCACUGGCGGGGUGGGCUCAGGGUGCGGUCUGUCUCACUCACUGCACCACGGGAAGCCAUCAGCUACUGCAGGAGCCUUGCUCACACCUAGGGUGUCAGCCCCAGGACUGCACCCUGCCUUUCCAUCCUGACCCUCUGUGCUGGGCUGUGGGGGAUGGGACAGCCUCCACAAGACGUGGCCAGCCUGCCUCAGUCUCCUUCCAGGCCAGGCCACCCACCCUUACUGCCUGCAGGCCCACUUUGUCAGGUCAACCAUUCAGAGCAGUGUCCCUUACCUGGUCCCCUCCAGCUGCGAGGCCCACCUGUAAGUGGCCACUGCAAUCAUCUGCAGCCACUGGCAGCCAGGGGCUCUCAGAAAAGUGGCGGCAGCUGGAAGACCCGGUGAAGAGGUGUUCUCGGCCUGCCCUGCUGAAUCUGCCCCCAAAAGCAGCCACGUGGCAUGGCCUUGGCAGUGGGGAGCGGCCACGCAGGCCCCGUAAAGGCUCCACAGGAUGUGCUGAGCCCUUUCCUUGGUCCCUCAUCAGAGCAGGCUUCCCGGGGGAGGGGCUGCGACAUGGGGACCAAAAGGCAGGCUGCAGCUAG
rnacentral:lncRNA from 1 species